rnacentral:rRNA from 1 species
CACGUAGGGUGCGAGCGUUGUCCGGAAUUAUUGGGCGUAAAGCGCUCGUAGGCGGUGUGUCGCGUCGGCCGUGAAAACCUGCAGCUUAACUGUGGGCUUGCGGUCGAUACGGGCAUCACUGGAGUUCGGCAGGGGAGACUGGAAUUCCUGGUGUAGCGGUGAAAUGCGCAGAUAUCAGGAAGAACACCCGUGGCGAAGGCGGUUCGCUGGGACGGUACUGACGCUGAGACGCGAAAGCGUGGGGAGCGAACAGG